UACGUAGGGUGCAAGCGUUGUCCGGAAUUAUUGGGCGUAAAGAGCUCGUAGGCGGUCUGUCGCGUCUGCUGUGAAAACUCGGGGCUUAACCCCGGGCCUGCAGUGGGUACGGGCAGACUAGAGUGCGGUAGGGGAGAAUGGAAUUCCUGGUGUAGCGGUGAAAUGCGCAGAUAUCAGGAGGAACACCGAUGGCGAAGGCAGGUCUCUGGGCAUUAACUGACGCUGAGGAGCGAAAGCAUGGGGAGCGAACAGG
rnacentral:rRNA from 1 species